CCUUUAUGAAGCGGUACAACGUUGUUCCAGUUUCCGCACGCUCGGAGCAGAGCCCGACCUUUUUUAUCAAGAAAGAGUCGGAGGCUUCAACUUAUCACUGGUAGCUCUAUGGUUAGGUUCGGCGAUUCUGGGCAUUGCAUUUUGUGGACCAGCCAGCAUUCAGCAACCCGAAAAGCUGAGGGACCAGGCCUCAAGAUGCUCGUCAGGUCGGCAGACAACCUCGAGUUUGUAGCGAGAUUUCAGGUGAUUUGAUUUUUGUUUAUGAGCCGAUUUGCUUUUUGUUGGGUUUCUCGCUUGACAGGUUCU